UACGGAGGGUGCAAGCGUUAUCCGGAUUCACUGGGUUUAAAGGGUGCGUAGGCGGAUUGGUAAGUCCGUGGUGAAAUCUCUAAGCUUAACUUGGAAACUGCCAUGGAUACUAUUAGUCUUGAAUAUUGUGGAGGUUAGCGGAAUAUGUCAUGUAGCGGUGAAAUGCAUAGAUAUGACAUAGAACACCAAUUGCGAAGGCAGCCGGCUACACAAAUAUUGACGCUGAUGCACGAAAGCGUGGGGAUCAAACAGG
rnacentral:rRNA from 1 species